UACGUAGGGGUGCGAAGCGUUUGUCCGGAAUUAUUGGGCGUAAAGAGCUCGUAGGCGGCUUGUCACGUCGGAUGUGAAAGCCCGAGGCUUAACCUCGGGUCUGCAUUCGAUACGGGCUAGCUAGAGUGUGGUAGGGGAGAUCGAAUUCCUGGUGUAGCGGUGAAAUGCGCAGAUAUCAGGAGGAACACCGGUGGCGAAGGCGGAUCUCUGGGCCAUUACUGACGCUGAGGAGCGAAAGCGUGGGGAGCGAACAGG
rnacentral:rRNA from 1 species